rnacentral:rRNA from 1 species
GAUGAACGCUGGCUACAGGCUUAACACAUGCAAGUCGAGGGGAAACGGCAUUUGGUGCUUGCACCGAAUGGACGUCGACCGGCGCACGGGUGAGUAACGCGUAUCCAACCUUCCCGUUACUGCGGGAUAACCUGCCGAAAGGCAGACUAAUACCGCAUGUUCUUCGAUGACGGCAUCAGAUUCGAAGCAAAGAUCCGUCGGUAACGGAGGGGGAUGCGUCUGAUUAGCUGGUUGGCGGGGCGACGGCCCACCAAGGCGACGAUCAGUAGGGGUUCUGAGAGGAAGGUCCCCCACAUUGGAACUGAGACACGGUCCAAACUCCUACGGGAGGCAGCAGUGAGGAAUAUUGGUCAAUGGGCGGAAGCCUGAACCAGCCAAGUAGCGUGCAGGAUGACGGCCCUACGGGUUGUAAACUGCUUUUAUGCGGGGAUAAAGUGAGGGACGCGUCCCUUUUUGCAGGUACCGCAUGAAUAAGGACCGGCUAAUUCCGUGCCAGCAGCCGCGGUAAUACGGAAGGUCCGGGCGUUAUCCGGAUUUAUUGGGUUUAAAGGGAGCGUAGGCCGGGGAUUAAGUGUGUUGUGAAAUGUAGGCGCCCAACGUCUGACUUGCAGCGCAUACUGGUUCCCUUGAGUACGCGCAACGCCGGCGGAAUUCGUCGUGUAGCGGUGAAAUGCUUAGAUAUGACGAAGAACCCCGAUUGCGAAGGCAGCCGGCGGGAGCGCAACUGACGCUGAAGCUCGAAGUGCGGGUAUCGAACAGG